GAAGAAGUUUCAUAGAUGAAUGCCUGCUAUUCAGCUCCUGACAAACCACAUUGAGGAAAUGUAGCUGUAACAAACGUAGUUCUGUGAAUUUGCUUUGAAGAUCACAAUGGAUCGGUGCAUUGAUCAAAGAAAAAAGAGCUGGCAGUCUUCACAAAAAUUUUCACACUUAUCUACAAUUAACAUCUUCCCAUUCUCCAUAUUCCCAGAGCUCUGUUGCUGCAUUAGUCACAAGCUACAAGCUCUCUUUUAUCGCGCUGCUCUGUCACACAGGAUGCCAGCUUCCACCACAGCUGCAUCUUCACAACCACAACCACCAGAACAUCCCGUACCUUUUGCAACCACAGAAAGCCCAGGAAUCUGGUUUCAAAGAAAAAUAAGCUACUUCACUAACCUACUGGAAUACAUAAUUUGUUCAUCCUGCACUGAACCAACUCCCCAGAUGAAUCCUAAAGUUCUCUGUUAGAGCUUUUAGAAGCUCUCAUUAUAUAAUAAUAAUAGCUCUAUUAGAAUGAUAAUAUCAUUAUUAUCUACGACUUCUUAUUCAAUGUGCCAACAAGAACCUACACCACAACCAACCCCGAGAGAAGAGACUCCCAGAUCAGUAGGGCACAGGCUGACUCACACCACUUCCACUGCAGAGACAGGCGUACGUAAACACAUAUCUGGCAAUAACAUUAUAUCUGAGACUAAUUUUGGUGCAAAAAGUUUCUUGCAGGCGCUUCAUUAUUCUUAUUAGCAAUUCUAUUUCAGCAGCAGCAAUACCUGCCACGUGCAAUGAAGGAUGCAGAACUGCAGAUAAAUACAUAAAAACCCAAAGCAAAGCAAGCAAGGGAUUCAGCUCACACCUAAAAAAAGUAUUAUCUGUCUCUAAUUAAAAGAGAAAUUCACAUUUACAAACCACGGAAGUGUAGUCGCUUUGUAUUAAUGUUUUCGUUGUGUAAUCCUUCAUUGUUCCAUUAACAAAAUAACUGAAAUCUAUGUACGAAGUAACAAAACAGUUAAUUAAAUGAGGUCUCUCAAGGCGCUAAUAAAGCGGCAUGGUUUAAUGCAUUUCGUAAAAAUCAAGGAACCACGAAUGAACAACAUGGUAAAAGGUCGCAAUUUCACACUUACACACUCAAAAAGCAAAACCCCCAAAUGCAGCACAUGGAGCUGGCCACCCUGUGCCAUCCUGCGGGGCCAGCUCCUCCUCCAGCGCUCGAGUCCUCCUGCAAAGGCUUCAGGUUCAACAUUCUGCAGCAUUAGACUUGGAUAAAACCUCAGAAGUAUGAGUUUUCACCUUGUAUUUUCAAACACCCCAAUAAUGCCUGCUCUUUGUCAUGCUGAUGAUGAUGGAAGAACAAACAAAAAUGGACAAAAAUAGCCCCUAUGUGGAGACCAAAAAGUAAAAGCUGGUAAGGAAGCACCAACAGGAGGCUGACUUGGAGGCUGUCUUGAGGGCAGAAUUUCAUUUCCUUAUCCUCUAGUAAAGCUUAUGGUAGUCGGUUCCUACAAAAGCAACAAGUCCCAAGGAGAUGGAAUUGGUUUAGAAGCAUUUCAACGGGUUUAACGUGCCCUUCAGCCCUGCACCUGUGCUGCUGCCCCUGUGCUCGCCCGACCACCUGCAGAACACGGCCCUGACGCUUGCGGGGCUUCCUACCACCCGGUCUGUACCACUGGUAGGUUCUUCGGUCCGAUCCACCAUCCAGCCUCACAAACAGCUGGUCUGGAUGAGGAAGGGGUUCCCAGAAGAACUCCUGGUGACAUUGCAGACGAAGGCAGCAAGGCAGAGAGGGCAGGUCAAUUUGGACAAAGCAUUCAACAGCAGAGUUAUCGUUCAUGUUCAUUAACGUGCCAAAGUUGUCAGCAAAACAGAAAUGAUAUGUAGACCAAAUAUUCUUCCUGGGUAUGUGACUUACAAAGCUUUAUGGCAGUGGCAGAAGUUUAGCAGGCAAAGACGAACGGCCAGGAAUGCACAAUGAGCUGAGAAGUGCAAUAAGAACGUCGGGUAAGAGACUAACGCCGAAAAGGGAACAACAUGCUCCACCUCCGCGCCUGCCUGUCACCUCCCUGCACCCGGUCACCGAGACCCCAGCACAUUGGCAAAGGAGCCCGGAGCACACACAGUGAUCUGAUGCACCAAAGCCCUGGUCCUAAGGAGAAAUGAUGAAACCCCGUGGCCCCGGCAGCCAGGACACCUUCUACACAAGGUGAGAGGUGGACGUUGUAGAGCUGGGGUGCACCUUUACAUGGGUCCAGGUGAUGGCUACUUCGCCCACAGGUAUCUUGGGAGAACACAUCCCCAUUGAGCAUCAGAAGAGCCUCGGAGAGACAGGUGGCUUCAGACACCAUGCCCGUUCGCCUCACCUCUGUGUUUGGAAAAGGGGCAGUUCACAUGACACAACACACGUGUAUGGACGCACACGGAGCAGUGCCAGCUCGGGUGGGGUCUGCCCCGCAUCCCCUCCACACACCGGCAGCACGGCACAAAGCCAGCCAGACCCUUGUUCGUCCCCAGCACAGAACACGGUGAUGCUUCCAACCAACCCAACUCCGUUUUGUUUCAGAAAUAACCACCAUCUGCUCUACACUUUCAAUUCCUAGCAAGCUCCCAAUUAACCAACCGUUAAAUAACCUUCCAUUAAUGUGAUCAAGAACAUCAACAUAUGCGUUCUCAUAAAACAGAAUGACCAAAAGUGUUAUUUAAAUGAAACUGCCGAGAGCAACAAAGGAAAAAAAAAAAAAAGUCAUUCUCCAAUACAUACCCCUCCAACAGCCACACCAGCAGGCAGGAGCGUCCGAGAUGAUGUGUUAGUGCAUCCUCAGUGUGCGUUUUAGUUACACAUCAUCACCUAGUGAUGCUCUCUCUGCACCUGACAUCAGCCCCGCAUGCAAUUUACAGGUGCAGGCGGCCCCCUUAGAACACCCCUGCACCCCCCAGCACCUUCCAGGGACUGCUCUCCUCCAGCAGGAUUAGACACGGGGUGAACGGCUCCAAGUUAAAAGCGUAGGAGAGGUGAUACGAGGUAACAUUAAAUAUUUAUCUAAGCCCAACAGUGUCUCUCUGACUGCGACCAACAGCAGAUUGCUGGUGGAGAGGAUGACAGCAAGGAAAACUUAAUUACACUCUCCAAGCCUCCAGCAAUUUGCAGCUCAUGAAUUUCUCAAGCCAGAGGUGGUGACUUUUCACAGCCCCUGGGGGAUUUUUCUUUUAGCAAACUCCUUGGGAUUCCGAAUCCCAGCUGUUAUGCACUUCAGGUAAGAAAAGUGCCUGGCAGCAGCCUUACCCCUGGGCACUGAGCAUCAUGAUUCCUGGGGAAACCUCAUGGAACAUCUAAAUGGGUACUCCAGGGCGAUCUGUUUUUCAGUACAGAACUACAAUUCCAUGAAAGAGAAGCGAGAGGGGGG